rnacentral:rRNA from 1 species
UACAGGGGGUGCAAACGUUGCUCGGAAUUAUUGGGCGUAAAGCGCACGUAGGCGGUCUGUUAUGUCGGAUGUGAAAGCCCUUGGCUCAACUGAGGAAGUGCAUCCGAAACUGGCAGGCUAGAGUACGUAAGAGGGUCGCGGAAUUCCCGGUGUAGAGGUGAAAUUCGUAGAUAUCUGGAGGAACACCGGUGGCGAAGGCGGCAUUCUGGACCGACAUUGACGCUGAGGAGCGAAAGCCAGGGGAGCAAACGGG